UACGUAGGGGGCAAGCGUUGUCCGGAAUCAUUGGGCGUAAAGAGCGUGUAGGCGGCCCGAUAAGUCCGCCGUGAAAGUCCAGGGCUCAACCCUGGAAUGCCGGUGGAAACUGUCGGGCUCGAGUCCGGAAGAGGCGAGUGGAAUUCCUGGUGUAGCGGUGAAAUGCGCAGAUAUCAGGAGGAACACCAAUGGCGAAGGCGGCUCUCUGGGACGGUACUGACGCUGAGACGCGAAAGCGUGGGGAGCGAACAGG
rnacentral:rRNA from 1 species